GAUGAACGCUGGCGGCGUGCCUAAUACAUGCAAGUCGAGCGAACGGACGAGAAGCUUGCUUCUCUGAUGUUAGCGGCGGACGGGUGAGUAACACGUGGAUAACCUACCUAUAAGACUGGGAUAACUUCGGGAAACCGGAGCUAAUACCGGAUAAUAUUUUGAACCGCAUGGUUCAAAAGUGAAAGACGGUCUUGCUGUCACUUAUAGAUGGAUCCGCGCUGCAUUAGCUAGUUGGUAAGGUAACGGCUUACCAAGGCAACGAUGCAUAGCCGACCUGAGAGGGUGAUCGGCCACACUGGAACUGAGACACGGUCCAGACUCCUACGGGAGGCAGCAGUAGGGAAUCUUCCGCAAUGGGCGAAAGCCUGACGGAGCAACGCCGCGUGAGUGAUGAAGGUCUUCGGAUCGUAAAACUCUGUUAUUAGGGAAGAACAUAUGUGUAAGUAACUGUGCACAUCUUGACGGUACCUAAUCAGAAAGCCACGGCUAACUACGUGCCAGCAGCCGCGGUAAUACGUAGGUGGCAAGCGUUAUCCGGAAUUAUUGGGCGUAAAGCGCGCGUAGGCGGUUUUUUAAGUCUGAUGUGAAAGCCCACGGCUCAACCGUGGAGGGUCAUUGGAAACUGGAAAACUUGAGUGCAGAAGAGGAAAGUGGAAUUCCAUGUGUAGCGGUGAAAUGCGCAGAGAUAUGGAGGAACACCAGUGGCGAAGGCGACUUUCUGGUCUGUAACUGACGCUGAUGUGCGAAAGCGUGGGGAUCAAACAGGAUUAGAUACCCUGGUAGUCCACGCCGUAAACGAUGAGUGCUAAGUGUUAGGGGGUUUCCGCCCCUUAGUGCUGCAGCUAACGCAUUAAGCACUCCGCCUGGGGAGUACGACCGCAAGGUUGAAACUCAAAGGAAUUGACGGGGACCCGCACAAGCGGUGGAGCAUGUGGUUUAAUUCGAAGCAACGCGAAGAACCUUACCAAAUCUUGACAUCCUUUGACAACUCUAGAGAUAGAGCUUUCCCCUUCGGGGGACAAAGUGACAGGUGGUGCAUGGUUGUCGUCAGCUCGUGUCGUGAGAUGUUGGGUUAAGUCCCGCAACGAGCGCAACCCUUAAGCUUAGUUGCCAUCAUUAAGUUGGGCACUCUAAGUUGACUGCCGGUGACAAACCGGAGGAAGGUGGGGAUGACGUCAAAUCAUCGUGCCCCUUAUGAUUUGGGCUACACACGUGCUACAAUGGACAAUACAAAGGGCAGCGAAACCGUGAGGUCAAGCAAAUCCCAUAAAGUUGUUCUCAGUUCGGAUUGUAGUCUGCAACUCGACUACAUGAAGCUGGAAUCGCUAGUAAUCGUAGAUCAGCAUGCUACGGUGAAUACGUUCCCGGGUCU
rnacentral:rRNA from 1 species